rnacentral:rRNA from 1 species
AGGACGAACGCUGGCGGCGCGCUUAACGCAUGCAAGUCGAACGAGAUCCAUCCAGUGGCAACACUGGUGAAGAUCGAGUGGCGAACGGGUGAGUAACACGUGAGGAACCCACCCUGGAGACCGGGAUAACCCCUCCGAAAGGAGAGCUAAUACCGGAUGUCCUCCUCGGAUCGCAUGAUCUGAUGAGGAAAUGGAUUCCGCUCCGAGGACGGCCUCGCGGCUAGUCAGCUAGUUGGUAGAGGUACCGGCCCACGAAGGCGACGACGGUAGCGUGGUCUAGAGGAGGACGAUCGACGCCCACGACGU